AAAUUUUCUUGGUUCUUAAUACUGGAUAUACAAUCCUCGGGGGAAGAGAAGCAGAUGCAUACAAUGCGAUUA
rnacentral:tRNA from 1 species